GCUCGAGUGGCGAACGGGUGAGUAACACGUGAGUAACCUGCCCUUGACUUUGGGAUAACUUCAGGAAACUGGGGCUAAUACCGGAUAGGAGCUCCUGCUGCAUGGUGGGGGUUGGAAAGUUUCGGCGGUUGGGGAUGGACUCGCGGCUUAUCAGCUUGUUGGUGGGGUAGUGGCUUACCAAGGCUUUGACGGGUAGUCGGCCUGAGAGGGUGACCGGCCACAUUGGGACUGAGAUACGGCCCAG
rnacentral:rRNA from 1 species